rnacentral:rRNA from 1 species
UACGAAGGGGGCGAGCGUUGUUCGGAUUUACUGGGCGUAAAGGGCGCGCAGGCGGCUCAUUUUGUCAGGCGUGAAAGCCCCGGGCUUAACCUGGGAACUGCGUUUGAUACGGAUGGGCUAGAGUUCGGGAGAGGAGAGUGGAAUUCCCAGUGUAGAGGUGAAAUUCGUAGAUAUUGGGAAGAACACCGGUGGCGAAGGCGGCUCUCUGGACCGAGACUGACGCUGAGGCGCGAAAGCGUGGGGAGCGAACAGG